rnacentral:snRNA from 1 species
AGCUUUGUGCAGUGGCAAUAUCAUAGCCAAUGAGGUUUAUCCGAGGCGUGAUUAUUGCUAAAUAGUACAAAUUGAGCAGCUCCACACUGAAGACAAAGUUCCUAAUUUGGAUGGAAAGGUUGGUUGAAAUGCCAUAAGACCCUCUCUAUCUUAAGAGCUUUUGUUUCCAAAUAUUUUG